rnacentral:rRNA from 1 species
UACGUAGGGUGCAAGCGUUAUCCGGAAUUAUUGGGCGUAAAGAGCUCGUAGGCGGUUUGUCGCGUCUGCUGUGAAAACUGGAGGCUCAACCUCCAGCCUGCAGUGGGUACGGGCAGACUAGAGUGCGGUAGGGGAGAUUGGAAUUCCUGGUGUAGCGGUGGAAUGCGCAGAUAUCAGGAGGAACACCGAUGGCGAAGGCAGAUCUCUGGGCCGUAACUGACGCUGAGGCGCGAAAGCUAGGGGAGCAAACGGG